CUACGGGAGGCUGCAGUGGGGGAUAUUGCACAAUGGAGGAAACUCUGAUGCAGCGAUGCCGCGUGGAGGAAGAAGGUUUUCGGAUUGUAAACUCCUGUCUUUGGGGGCGAUAAUGACGGUACCCAAAGAGGAAGCUCCGGCUAACUACGUGCCAGCAGCCGCGGUAAUACGUAGGGAGCGAGCGUUGUCCGGAAUUACUGGGUGUAAAGGGAGUGUAGGCGGGACUGCAAGUCAGAUGUGAAAACUAUGGGCUCAACCCAUAGACUGCAUUUGAAACUGUGGUUCUUGAGUGAAGUAGAGGUUGGCGGAAUUCCUAGUGUAGCGGUGGAAUGCGUAGAUAUUAGGAGGAACAUCAGUGGCGAAGGCGGCCAACUGGGCUUUUACUGACGCUAAGGCUCGAAAGCGUGGGGAGCAAACAGGAUUAGAUACCCCAGUAGUC
rnacentral:rRNA from 1 species